GCCUGGGUGGCUCAGUCGGUUGAGCGUCCGACUUCAGCUCGGGUCACGAUCUCGCGGUCCGUGAGUUCGAGCCCCGCGUCGGGCU
rnacentral:tRNA from 1 species